UCGAGAGGCUUCGGCAAUGGGGGAAACCCUGACCGAGCGACGCCGCGUGAGGGAUGAAGGCCCUUGGGUUGUAAACCUCUUUUGUUGGGGAAGAAAUGCGAUCAGGUGAACAAUCUGGUCGUUUGACGGUACCCGACGAAUAAGCUCCGGCUAACUCCGUGCCAGCAGCCGCGGUAACACGGGGGGAGCAAGCGUUGUUCGGAAUCACUGGGCGUAAAGGGCGUGUAGGCGGUUUGGUAAGUGAGAUGUGAAAUGCUCCGGCUCACCCGGGGACCUGCAUCUCAAACUGCUGGACUAGAGUAUGGGAGAGGAUGAGGGAAUUCCUGGUGUAGCGGUGAAAUGCGUAGAUAUCAGGAGGAACACCGGUGGCGAAAGCGCUCAUCUGGCCCAAUACUGACGCUGAGGCGCGAAAGCUAGGGGAGCAAACGG
rnacentral:rRNA from 1 species